AGUCAUUUACGGAAUAGACUCAUAAAAAAGGACCCUGCACUGAUUUAACAUAUUCUAAUGGAAAGCAUGUGAGUGCAUAGUAGAUCCUCCCCUCUGCAACCUUUAUCUAGCUGACUCCUGGCAUUGCCAACACACUGCAGGCUCUCUGUGAAACACCAAGAUGCCAACAGCCUGCCAAACAUAUGACUAGUACAUUUCACACUCACAGUUCAUUAGUUUAUGUAAUAUGAAAUUAUAUAACUGACAUCAAGGGUUUGGGAAUAAAUGCAACUGACUUGGAAAGCCAGAAGAGGGGGGAACCACAGAGCAACAAGUUCUGAGGGCAUAGGAGCAAAAUGCAGGUUCAGUUUGGGCAGGCAUCCAGCCAAGACACUGCUUUCCAAGGGAGCCAUGCAAGGCCUGGUAGCAACAGCUGAUACCAAGUGAAGCCUGGGCCACUGGUGCCCAUAGGGGUCAACCAGAGAUGAGGUGGGGACUGCAGCAAGUGCUGACAGGGCUAGCCUGACCUUAGGGCCAAGAUUCCUGCUUCCUCAUUCCUCCCAAACUAACCAGGGCUGGACUCCAGGGAAUAGAAGCCAGAACCAGACUUCAGAACUGGCAAAAUAAUCACCAUGAUAAUGAAUACCACUUAUGGAGCUCUUACUUUGUACUAAGCAUGGGUUUAUGUGAUUCAAAUGCAUAACCUGUGAAGCCAAGCUGCCUUGUGGUCCAGUCCUGACAUGGAAAUGCAGUCAGACACAAAAGCCUGGCAACUAGGUAGCAAUUGAAAGUAAUUUUAAUUCUAGUUUCCCUCUUGAAAAACAGCACAAUUGUACACUGUUAAACUUCUUUAAAAUCCUCUUAUCUUUUUUUAUACUCAGCACAUCUGUCUCACCCUAAAGUUGCUCCUAAAAUAACACACCCCCCCCCAUUCAAACCUUUCCAAACUCUCUAUUCAAAACAGGGUGGAAGCUCUUCCCUCUCUCCACUUUCCUCCUUUCCUUCCCCAUUUGUUGUUUCUUUCUCUCCCACAAAGAAUCCUCUGCCCUUUCUGGUAUGAGUUCUCCCUGCCUGAGUUUCUCUAGUUUUUCCUCUCACACUGCAUGUUUGGGUCCUUACAAGGUUCAGGAAACAGACAAAAUAGGAAGAGAGCAGGGGAAGAUAAAAAAUGUAAAGACAGGAAGAAGCUGUGAAUACCGGCGCACAUUCAACACUUUUUAAAGGUCUCUAUUAUCUUACUCAUCUUCUCAAGAAGCCUCAGAGGCAGGUGAUCCCCUUAAACUUAUGAGAUGAUAGGGUUUACAGAUUCAAUAGUAACCUACCCAGUAAGUAGAAGAGUCAAGAUACAAAUCCAAGGAGCUAUGACUUCAAAACCCACCUUUUUGAUGACUGUUUGCCUUUUCUAGAAAGCAGCUAAAAUGCAUAAGGCAAUUGUCUAGUUUCUGCUCAGAUAGUCUGUGUUCACAGCUAGAAAUCUAUUACAUCUCUUCCUAGACUUAAAAACUAUCAACAACAGAGUCUACUGGAGGAGAGACCAAGGACCAAAGCAAAAGCAAGGCAGGCUGGCCUUGUGAGAUAGGCAUUAGCUGGGCUUGAUGGAGCUGGCAAUCUAUGUUCCUUCAACUUCCUAAACAACUCUUCAUAUAUAUAGGGAAGUUGGACGGUAGUUUAUUAUCCAUCCCAUUUUCUUGUGGAAAUCAAGAUUUUAAUGUAGCAUCAGGCCCUCUCUCAUUGAGGGCCCAGAAAAGUCUACAGGUAACUGACAUUAUUCAUUAUAAUGACAUGGCUAUAAUAAAAAAAUAAUAUAGUAAUAAAUAAAUAAGCUGUUGGAACAGUUUAAUGCUGUAUUUAUAAAAUAAUGGAAUCAAUGAGGGAAUUCAUGAAUUCUUUUGAGUCAUCUACUUAGGGGAUGGAGGGAGAAAACACAUUAUGUAAAGGGAAAUUGUUAACUUGUUAAAAUCCUCAAGGGAUUAUAUAAUUUACCAAAGAAAUGAUUGGAAUGUUUUGUUUUGAUUAAAGAACCAAUUUAAAGUUUGGAAAGCAGAAAUUGAAAGAAAAAAUAGGUCCACUUAAGAAUAGAGAAGUAUCAAUAUCAGGCUCCCUUGGCAUCCAGACUGGGACUGCUCUUGUUUAUUGAUUCUGUAACGACAUACAGGAGCAAAAUCUCCACAUUUAUAGCUAAUACUCAAUACUCAAGAGUGAUAGAAGGCUAUAGGGAUGGGGGUGGACAACUAAAAUGUGUGUGUGUGAAAAGAGAGUGGUGGAUGGAAGUCUGUGUUGAGUAUAUAUUUAGAAGAAGUAGCCGAAGCCUCAUAUAGCUGUGUCUGCUUUAGCAGCUUUCAUAUGAUAAUAAAAUGAGGUACAAGAAAAUAAAUAAAUUGAUAAAAAUAUUGAAUUGUUGAUCAAGAGUUAAAAGUUGCAAGCUAGAAAAGGGAUUUAAGUGGGAGUUAUAAUACCGAGACACCUAAGCCAUGUGUUAUAGUAACCAAGGAGAGCUGGCUACUCUGUUCUUCCUUCUCAUUAUUUUUCAAUAAUGUUCAUAGAGUACUAUUUGCUCUUUUUGCAGAGAGAAUAAGAAUAUAAAUUAAAUAAAUGUGUUCAUAGAGGUGUGUGUGUGUAUGCAUGUGCACAUAUGUAUAAAACUGCCUAACAAUCUUAUAUUGAUGUAUGUUCCCAUGGUCACUUCCUGGACCCUGUCAAUAAGCAAUACAAGUUUAUCUAUAAAAUCUUAAACUCCACAUAAUCCAUUCUCAAACUCUAAUGUCCUAUUUUUCAACUUCCUGAGCUUCCAUCUCACUGUUUUCUCACUUCACAGAGAUCUGCCUUCCUACCUUCCUAAUUCUUACAGGUCAUCCUCCCAGAUUAUAAGUAGGCUUCUUUUUUUUUUUUUUUAAGACAAAAAGAGAGGAGGCAGAGACACAAGCAGGUUCCUUGCCGGGAGCCCAAUGCGGGACUCAAUCUUAGAUCCCAGGAUCAUGCCCUGAGCCAAAGGCAGAUGCUAAACCACUGAGCCACCCAGGCAUCCCUAUGAGUAGCCUUCUGUUUGUCCUUUCAGUCAGCUCAGACUGUAUGACUAUUCAAAUGAGUUGCAGUGCUAUAACCUAUUUCCUCCAUCUUACACCUCAGUGAUCGGAUGAUGCUGGAGAAAAACACUAGUAAUGUUAUUAAAAAGAUAAACUGAGGCAUGAUUCAAACCAGGCAGUGCCAAACUGAAAGUGGUUAGGAGCACUCCAGGAGCUAGGGGAAAGUUUUUAACAAGAUACAGAAGCAAAGCAAGGAAAUUAUUUGAUUGGCUAUAGCAUAAGCUCUUGCCUUAUUUGGGAAAGCCUAUUUGUGAUUGGUUGGCCUCAGGUUUCAUAUUCUUAGAUUCAAGUGUGUUGAUUCUGGAUUAGGUUUUGGUUUGCUUACAUAGGCCACCAAAUCUUUAGAGACACUUUAUCUAAUGGCCUCCUGUUUAAUUACUUUAACAAUGCAAAACUCUCAAGUCAGGAGCUCCCCCAAACAGCUCUGUUUCCCUUAUUCAGAAGACGGUAUUUCUUUCUCUUGACUCUUAGAAGACUGAUCAUGUCUUAUUCCCUUUGCUUCUCUAGAAUUUUGCCCCUUGUCAGUGAACUUCACAAUUUAGGACAUUACUCUGGAUACAGUAUGAAUGAUUGACUGGGGGCCAGGCAAGAGAGGGUGCAAGGACAGUGGAAAAGUGCUGUAGGCUUUACAGGGGUGAUGACAAUGGCAAUAGAGAGAAGCAAAUGACUUUGGAAUAAGUGUAGGCAGUUGAAUCACAAAGAUAUAAUUGUUGGAUAGAAGCAGGGGAGAUGAGGUGGGAGUGUGAGGUGAGGAGAUUUCUGGCUUGAGCAACUAAGUGGUGAUAUCGUCACUGAUAUAGGAGAAUACUGGGGAUGGGGGACCCAGGUUUAGAUAGGAAAAAAAAUAGAAAUUUUAUCUGUAAUAUAUUAGGUUCGAGAUAGUUCUGAGAUUGCCUAAUAUAGAGAUGCCCAAGAAGCACUGGUGGGACUGUUGAACAUGAUGAAAAAUAAGGACCAGGAUGUGACCCUGGAAGUGGAGGACAAUUCCAUGGACAAUGAGGAGGUCGAGGAUCUGAGUUGCCAGACAUCCUUCAGUACCUCAAUUUUAUCAGGGUUUUCUCAACUCCAACUUUCCAAAUGUUUUAUAUUUUUCAUUUUUAUUUCAAUCAUUAAUUCACCUGGACAUAAUGUUUAUGUAUGAUGAAAGAUUACCAUCUUUAUUUUCUUCUUUUUGGAUAACCAGAUAUCCUUGGGCCAUUUGUGUUCAACACAAGCUUAACCCCCAAAUGUCCCUUGAAUUCAUUUUGCCCUGAAGGACUUCAGGAUCCUUCCCUUUCUUUUCUAUAAUCCAUAUUCUGCAUGGUGUCAUGAAAUUUGUCUUUCUAAAAUACAAAUGUGAUCAUGUCACUCUGCUGAUUAAACUGUUUAAAUAACUUCUUUUUAUUGCCUACAGAAUAAAAGUCCAAUCCCUAAGCCUGUCAUAUUUAAGCUACUGCUGGGUAUGAUUGGGUCUUCUGACCAGGACCUCCAGGAAGCCGCAGCUGGAUGUAUAUCCAACAUACGCAGACUGGCUCUUGCUAUAGACAAGGCAAGAUACACUUGAAAUGUGCACAGACGUUACAAACUACCAAAUUUUACAUGACAGGGAACAUGUCAGUCCCAUGGCCAAGAAGCCUAGAUCAGGAAGCAUGUUGAGCAAAUGUUUUACAGACAGAUAAAUGUCUGAAUGAAAACACAGGAAUUAAAAAUGCAAAGGAUACUCUUCAUCCAAAAAUUGCAUAGAUAUUUUUGUUCUAUUUAAUAUUUUGGGGAUAUGCCAUGUAAUGAAAUGUAAAGCUAAUAAAAUUGUGAUACUUUUGUUUGUGAUGAUUUUAAUAAAAGAUAUGGCCUUCCUGGUGUGCA